GCUAGAGACCCAUGACAGCGGCCACCACAGUACAUACUGUGAACUCCCGUGCAGCAGCUAUCCCCUUCGUUGUGCUCCAAAGCCGAGCACUGCCUCAGCACUGAAAUUACAGCCUGUCACAGCCUGUGUUAACAUGUGGCCAGAAGCAGCUUCUGCAGCAGCCGUACAACCCGCGACUGGAAAAGGUCCAACCCUCAGGCACAGGGCCUGGCCCUGCAUAAAGGCAGACCAGCAGUGUGGCUUCCUGCUGCUGCAUGGUGGCUGUCGGCCCUGAGGUGGCUCCUCCUGAAGGAAGGUCCUGAAGAAAUGCUGCAGUCCCAAAGACUUCCAUGGCCUCACAGAAACCAAUGAGGCUGGAUACUCAUGGUGAUGGAAAUAUUAGAGACAGCACAGGUGCAACUGCCUCUGAUUUUCACUGUGGGUUUAGCAUCGUUCCACUAAGGCUACUAGGAAGAAGGCAGUAUCAGCUGUGAAUGACACAAGAACAACUGGGGAAGAGGAUGAGAAAACUGUGAAAGAAUUGCUGGGGGAGAUGCCUGGGGACAUUGGCAGUGUUUUGAGCCAGCUUCUGAAGAAAACCUGGAGAAGUCUUACUGGAGCUGAAGUUGCUGCAUGAAGGAUAGAGGGAAACAAGGGUGGAUCCUCUUCCCCACAGUGAUGCCAUGAUAAAGGAUGACCAAUAGCUGUAAGGAGAAAGAACAUAUAAGGGACAAGCCGAGAUAACACUUAGUAAGGGAUGGAAAAUGCCAGGCCUUCGUAUGGUCUACUGACUCCCUGGCCAAGAUGUGUCCUGCAGCUGAUGUAUAGCCCUAAGCAGGAAACAGCCAGGGCAUGCAUUUCAUGAGUGGGGUAUAUGAGGCGGUACUUCAUCUCCAGGCCUCAGUGGAGGACACAGAGCAGAGGCAAUAUCAUGAGGGGACGUAGCAGGCAUAGACAUGAUUUUUCAUCAUGCUUGUUUACAGUGCGGCAGCUCGACUGGACUUGCUUAUUUAUGUUGAACUGCACAGUGUGCAAGCACUCAGCAAAGAGGCAGGUAUCCAAAACCAAGGUGUUAGUACAGGCUGCAAAUCAAGAGCACGGUGAACUGAACAUGGUCACAAACAGGCUUUAAUAUUGCACUGCAGAACAGUAACUCCCACACUAAAUGAAGAAAAGGGUUAAAUUUGUAGACGGCUGGCUUUGCAUAGUCUGGCUAGGCCCACCACACUGAUAUUUAUAAACUCUCAGUGGAUGACUGAGAGCACCUCCAGGCCUGCCGAGGGCAGACUAGCUCUCUAGCAACACACUGCAGGUGAAUUUAAGGGUGUGGUAAUUGAGCUGGGCUUGGGUCACCCAGUAGCAGUCUGAAGCCAGCCAGCCAUGCUAGGCAUAGCUCUACACUCCUGAACAAAGUGUUCCAUUAGGCCUGCUGGAGCCUGGGCAGCCUCCACUAGUCAGGCUUUCUCUUUCUGAAUUUUAUGCAAUGAAAAGAAUGGGAUAGGCAGGGUGUGCAAGGAGGAUUUUGUUCACUUCCAUAAAGAAUCCAGACUACAGCUAAGCAUCUGGAAACAUGCUUCUUGGGAUUUCAGUGUUGCAUCUAAAAUGCAAUGUUAUGACAGGGAGCAGAAGAAAAAAGGAUCAGUGACUUUGCAGAUGAAUGACCAACGUACUAACAUGACAAAAUGAGCUCUUGGUUUGCCAUAAAUACAUUAUCUAAGCUUUCAAGGGUUGAUCAGUAAGAAUGCAAAAUCUCUUUCAAAGGAUGUAGAUGAGAAGGAGGGGUACUCAUCAGAAUUAAAGAACAGCUUUUGCUAGACUGGUGUUCCUGGCAGGUUACACCUGCUUCCCACUCUGUGCCUUGCUGCCACUCUGUCUGGAGCAACGUGCUUCUAACAAUAGCUGGUAGCUGCAAGGUACAGAGUGUGCUACGCAGCUCGUUUCCUCUUCCUCCUGCCUGAUUGUUAUUGCAGAGCUCCCAGCAAGAAGGGCUCUUUAAUGCCAUUAAGUCACAAGAAACUGUGGCUUUGAUAGUGAGGAUCUGAUUUAAUGCAAUACCAAGUCAAAGAAAAACAUUUAAAGAGAGAAGAUGCCUUUCUCUAAGUGCUUUGUACUGUAAAGCUUCUGUAUAUACACAUACACUCACAUGCUCACACAUCCUGGAGGAGGUGCGUGUCCAGAAGGGAAAUCCUGCCUGCACCGGAGUUCAUGACAAAUGUUCCCACUGACCUUGGCAGGGCUGGGUUUCAGCCACUGUCUGUAUGUGGGGGACGGUGUGGAAGUGUUCAGGCAUGAUAUGUCUGUAUUUACUUGCUGUGAAAGACUGUGGGAGCCUGAACAUACUAGCAACGCACCAAAAUACAAAUGGAGAGUAAGAGAUUGUCCCCAGGACAAGGCCCAGGAGUGUUGCCAUGCCUUCCUGCACCACAUGUGAUCUCCUGCAGCUUUGUCUGUCUGCAGGUUGUGGGAGCACCCUAGGCAGUGACCUUACUCACCAUCAGAGUCUUGGCGGGGUCUUGGCUUGCUUGCUUGUUUUUGGCUUGGUGACUUUUUUGUGUGUGAUGCUUUCUUGUUUGUCUUUUUAACACAUAUUGGGGUUAGUCUAAAAAUUGCUCAACUGCCUUCAUUCUUCUGCUCUCAAAAUAGAUAGGACAGUUUUUGAGGGCCAAUUAGAAGGGCCAGCUGGCCCUUGAAUAACCAUAAUCCUGCAUUCAGUGAUUUCACUCUGCUUGAUUUUACCUUCAGAUAUGUUUUCAGUGUGGCAGAAGGACAAGAAACCUACAAGUAAUUUAGUGGUUAUGCACUUCAAAACUCCCAUUUUAAUGCUGAUUGUAAUUCUAUUCCACUGUUUUUUUCUAAAAUCUGUUUUGAAUUUGUGCACCUCUAAGCAUCAUUCAGUGAUAUUAUAGGUGGAAACAUAAGAUCCAGUAUAAUGAACACGAAUCCUGUUUUCCUGGAGACCUUUUAUAGAUCUACUGAAGGUAAUUCAGAGACUCACAGUUUAAAGACCUGCUUUAAUUUGUGUAGCUGUAAUGUGCCAAACUUGAGUGGCUAAUUUCGUAUCAGUCACUGAAUGCAGUGGGCCAGCCACAUGACUUCCUUAAUUUAAAAUGUGUUUUGUAUUUAUGGGUUCCUCCUGUUUGUAACUAUCAUUUUGUAACAGCUGCCCUGUGGUACAGCAAGCACCACAAAGCAGAAUCCCUAUGUCUGAAAGGCACUUCCUUCCCCCUUCAUCUUGACAGCACACAUCUGAGCCAAGGUUCCUCUGUGCAGAACCGGGUUGGUCCCAAUACUGGGGCUCUCACUCCUGCUGGAAAGCACUGCACAUCCAUGACUGGGACCAGAUUUGGGGCAGUAUGCCAAGUUCUUUUGAGGAUUUGGGCCUGGCUGUAAAUGUCACAGCUGGUGGCUUCCCACUGUUGAAAAUCUGCUGCAAUAUUAUGGAUGAUGAGCAUUUGGAAAAUCUGGUGCUGAAGACCAGCAGUCAAUAGGGUGAUGUAAAGGAGAGUGGGACAAGGCCCAGAGCUGCAGCACAGGAAAGCAGGAAUACAUUCAAAGUCAUAGACAUUGUCUGUGCAGGAUUCCAAAUACCUGGCAAAACCAAAGCAAAACAUGAGCAUUACUAAAAAACAUCAGGUAGACCUAUUUCUGCGUAGCAAGUAUAAAACCUUGAAUUACUUCCAAAAAAGAUCUGAAUUACCAUUACCAGUGCUCCUGCAGAAGCACUCUGAACUAAGAGCUUGAAGCCAGAGACUUCCAGUUACACUGGAAAAAUGCAUUCUCACUCCCAUGCGGAGUGGUGGCUCCUUGGACAUGUUCCACGUUUCUCUGGAAGAGCUGGCAAUAUCGUAAAUUCCAGAAGAAAAGCUGCUGAACUGCUUUAAGAUUAUUUUAAAGAUGUGUACAAACUACUUUCAGAAAAUUAUGAUCACUGUUUUUUUUUGUUGUUGUGAAUCUUCACGUUUACUCUUCCUUACAUACUAUUUACCUUCUCCCUUUGGAGCACCGUUGUAUAUGGAAACCUGCUCAGCACAACACAUAAACAGCUGUGGUAAGCAGUCUAUAAAGAUGUAAAGAGCAGUUGUUGUCACUGUACUAACAAAGCAGAUUUUAUCAAAUUUGCCUUCAAACCAGGCUCUCAGCUGCUCCCAAGCAUAUCGAGAUGACCCCUACAUGUGUUAGCAAUAUGCUACAAUGACAUACAUGUGUUCCUACGUAGCCUAUUCCAGCACAGGUUUCUUUGUUCACAAUCACAUUAUGCAUGUGUUUGUUAUUCAUGUUUCUGCUUCCACAACUUUCCUUUGAUGUAAGUACAAUACAACUUUUUCAUCGUUAUUUGAAACAGAAACGUCGGGACAAAAGGAGCAUCAAAUAUAGGAAGUACUGAGUUACAUUUUGCCAGUGGUUUAUACCUUUUCUGUAUGUUAAAGUCAUCAAUAACAUAUUUUCAGAAGAAAAAUGAAUGACUUGACUUUUGUUCAGACUACAGGCUUAGCGUAAAGGUCAGACUGUGAUGCCGUGACACAGUGACUGCUCAAAGUCUGCCGCAGAGAGUUUGUGUCAGGGGCAGGAGCAGAUUCACAUUGUCUUUAGCAGUGCCAGAGACAUUUUUUUCUGAAGAGAACAUUAGCUUUUAAGUCUCCUGCAAGUCCUCUGAAAAAUAAAUAUACAUCUUUGGAAAGUGACUGGAAAGAUGCUUACAUGAGAGCUGGAAAAGAUGCUCAAUAUCAAUCUGUACUUUCCUCUUUAAGUGUUUCUGAGCCACAUCUUCACCUGCAAUUAACUCACAUGGCGUAUGAAGAUACACUCCUCUGUGCUUAACCUUUAAACAAAAUUUCUCUGAUUAUUGGCCUUCAUUCCCAGUGUGACUGUGAGAAACGAGCAGGGCAGAUGGGAGCAGGCGUUCCCAGUUGAUGCUACAGAACAUUUCUGUGAUGAUUUAAAGCUGUGUUAAACAAUAGCUUGUUCACAUUCAAUUUCAGAGCAUCCCAAGAUGCUGUAUGAGGCAGGGAAGAGAACUGAAAUUGCUUUUGCGGAGAUGCUAGGCAUAAUUAAAGGCUCAUGUCUAGAUCUUACAGCUAACAAACUGCUGUACAACAAGGGAAGCAGCUCCCUAAGUAGUUUUUUACAAAACACUAAAUAUACUAUUGUAACAAUAAAACCUAACCAUCCAGCUGCCAGCACACUGUGUGCGUGUGGCACUGUGGACAUCAUGUCCACCCCCUCCCCUCAAAUCCAUCCCCUUCUGCUGUUGGAAAAUAGCAAAAGUCCUACCAGGAGCUACUGAGAAGUUUAAUAAAAAUAAAUUGGAGCUGCUUAAUCCACUUCUGCAAUCUGGCUGUACUUGUUCUGAAAAUCAGGACUGCACCUUUGGAAAAGUGCAGAUGUAAAUGUAAAGUGCAGAGUAAAGUGAGAAGCUGUGAGCACUGCCUUGCAGAAGGGCAGAAAAAAGGCCUCUCGCCGUCUCCCCUUUUGACAUGACAGAUAAAGGCAAAUGCGUGAAGGUCUUAAAGCCCCACUGCAGAGCAGGAAGAGGAAAACAAAUGGCACCACACCAUAUACCCAUAAUCCCAACUAAAAGGCAUUCAAAUUCAUUUCUCCUCAGCUUCCCUUUUACACACCAGUGAACAAGUGUGUUUGACAACACAGUGUGGGAGUUUCCAGUUCAUUGAGCGGGUUUCCUUCACCUUUGCUCAGGCUUCCACCUGAAUGUCCUGCUCCCAACCACAAGAUGGAUCCCAGGUGGGCUGGUGGGGACCAGAAAUGGGAGCCCCCGGGCACUGCACCUCACACACGGGGCUCUGGGAGGAAGCAAACUGGGAAACUGGAUGCAGGUUGAAGAGAAAGUGCUGGGCUUGGCAGGAAAGCAAUGCUCUCAGGCCCCAACUGCCACCAUGCUGAGCUCGCUGCCUUUGCUAGGCCUGGAGCUUCCCAUGUGUGAGGAAUGCACCUGGGGAAGUGCCUUGCAGGUUGCUGGGACCAGUGGCCUUCAAUAGGCAGGAGCAGCAGGCCAGAGCAGCAGGCACAACAGCUGAGGUGAUGCCAACCGAUGCUGGAAGAAGGAGGCAAGGGAAAAGUGCUGCAGGAUGCUUGGGAGACUGGAAAAUGCCUCGGAGCCAGCGGAGCCACGAGCGUGUGAGUGGAAGGCAGCAUGGGCUGCUCAUUAGAGCCUGAGCGCAUUGAGAGCAGGAGAGGAUGCUCACAUGGCAAAUCAAUUUGCAGGCAUCAAAUUGAUUUAAAAAAAUGCAAAAGGAUGCACUCACCAUUAUAAAUCGAAUAGGAAGAGCAGCAGAUAAACAUGGUCCAUGGUUCAUAAAACCACAGUUAGAGGGAGUGGAACCUUUUUCUCAGGCAAGAUAGCAGGCAGUGUGCCCUUAUGUCUCAUCUGCAGCUUUUCACAUUUCUAUUUUUCACAUUUCCAAUGCCAAACUAAUUAUUUUCCUCCAAAGGUCCUUUCCACUUCUCUUCAUCCUCAUCCUUCUGUUGACAUUGACUGGACGUAUAAUCACAGCAUCGCUUUUCAGUAUUUGACUCUUGCUUCAAAUCCUUUUUUCUCCCUUGUAGCAUCUCUGAGAUCUCAACCAAGGAUCCAAAACACUUGCUUAUAACUUCACAGUCUCCAGGUUUUGGGUUUCACAUCCCCCUCCUUACCAUCCUUUUCACACCUCCAUCCCACUGCUUCCUACACAGAGUACAGCUGCCAGGUUGAUGAUACAGAUGUAGAGAUAAAAUCCAAUUCUCCAGAGCUGCCUUAGUAACACUUUUUCAGCGUACAGUUCCAGAUACUUUUCUUUGCAUGCAUUUUCUCUGUGCUUUCAGGUUCACCAUGCUGACUUUGCCUCUUGAGCAGGCGCAGCACCCAAGAGCUGUAGCAGGGUGUUAUUCUCCACCCUCACUCACAUCACAGGGAAAACAAGAGUAGUCGGAGUGAGCACCAAACCAGCUGUUUGAUAGAUGUUAAGUCAAGCAAGAGGUUGCACUACAAAGUGAUAGGAAAUAGGCUGUCAUGUUCUUCCAUUACCCCCAAGCCUGACUUCUCCCAGCACUGCACAUCUCCUUGGCCCUGCUUCUAACUCCUCGGUAUCUCAUACCAUCCUCAUGCGCUUUUCAGUGCUCAGAUCUCUGCUGUGUCCUUG
ensembl:lncRNA